rnacentral:rRNA from 1 species
CCAAUAGCGUAUAUUAAAGUUGUUGCAGUUAAAAAGCUCGUAGUUGAAUUUCGGGAUCAAUAUGUUGGUCGUGCCUUGGUACGUACUAGCUUAUUGAUUUCUUCCUUCUGACGAAUCAUGAUGUCAUUAAUUUGGUGUCAUGGGGAAUCAGGACUGUUACUUUGAAAAAAUUAGAGUGUUUAAAGCAGGCUCACGCUUGAAUACAUUAGCAUGGAAUAAUGAAAUAGGACGUUUGAUUCUAUUUUGUUGGUUUCUAGGAUCGACGUAAUGAUUAAUAGGGAUAGGUGGGGGCAUUAGUAUUCAAUUGUCAGAGGUGAAAUUCUUGGAUUUAUUGAAGACUAACUACUGCGAAAGCAUUUGCCAAGGAUGUUUUCAUUAAUCAAGAACGAAAGUUAGGGGAUCGAAGACGAUCAGAUACCGUCGUAGUCUUAACCAUAAACUAUGCCGACUAGGGAUCGGAUGAUGUUAAUUUUUUAAUGACUCAUUCGGUGCCUUACG